rnacentral:misc_RNA from 1 species
AAGUCGUAACAAGGUCUCCGUAGGUGAACCUGCGGAGGGAUCAUUCACAUGAUUACUUUAUAGAAACAAACUGUGAACUUUAUUAUUUACCAUUCGUGUUGUUAUUACUUUCCAAUUUAUUGGUUAGUCAUUCUCAACACUGUCAUUCGAUCGAACAUAAAGAUAGUUGGCUUGUAUUGUUUUACAAUACUUUCUCAGCUUUGAUUUCUGAUGUAACUAAACACUACACCAUGAUAAUCAACCAAUCAAUAGAAUUAACAACUCUAUGCCCUGGAUAUCUUGGUUCUC